GUCGAUGAUGAAAUAAUCCAAAUGUAUGAGAUAUGGUGGAUUUGAGACCUUGUUUUACAGGGAGAACCACCUGGUUAAAGUUGUAUUUCAUUUGAUAUUACUGGAUUCAAAUGAGGC